CGGGAGGCAGCAGUGGGGAAUUUUGGACAAUGGGGGCAACCCUGAUCCAGCCAUGCCGCGUGAGUGAAGAAGGCCUUCGGGUUGUAAAGCUCUUUCGGCCGGGACGAAAUCGCACGGGCUAAUAUCCUGUGUGGAUGACGGUACCGGAAUAAGAAGCACCGGCUAACUACGUGCCAGCAGCCGCGGUAAU
rnacentral:rRNA from 1 species